rnacentral:lncRNA from 1 species
CUCGGUAGCUUCCAUUGACCGUUACUGGAGUGAGCGAGAGAGAGAGGCUGUCGGUGGACGGAAUUGCCUGCAUGGGGAACUUUAUCUCUCUAGAACUCGGCGACUGCGUGGGAGCCCAAAUGAGUCACACUGCUAAAGAAAGGUUCACAUCACCGAAGUCCCAAGCAAGUACUACAGAGAGAGAGAGAGAGAGAGAGAGAGAGAUCCAUGGUACGUAGAAGGCAGCGAUAGUAAGAGCAGAGCAGUGCACAGCAGAGGGAGAAGAACAAGGAAGAAGGGACGGGUGGGUCGGUCAGGGGGCGAGGGGGUCGUUGAGAGAGAGGGCGGCGAGCUGGUCGGCGGCAGCAGCGGGCGGCGGCGGCUGGUUGGCAACGUUGCGGAGGACAUCCAUGGCUUCGGCGACCUUGGCCUUGAGGGCGUCCGGGGACUCGAGCAGGUGCAGCACCUCCGUCUGGUCCAUCUCCAGCAGCAUCCCCGUCACCUUCGCCGCCGCGUCGUGCUCCAGCUGCUCCACCAGCGGGUACAGCGACUCCCCCAGCAUCUGCUUCCCCACACCACCACAACACUCCGUCACAAAAACAUUCUCUCUCUCCCCCAUCUUUCUCGCUCUCUCUCUCUAAAAGAAUAGAAAAGAAGAGAAGAGCAGAGAAGAGACGCACCGUCCUCUGCUGCUCGGGAGAGGCGUUGGCGAGGGCGGAGGCGAGGGCGCCGAUGGGGAUGGGCUGGGACACGCCGACUUGGACAAUGGGGAUGCCGCCGCCCAUGCCGAUGGGCUGGAUCGUCCCCAGGCCGACGCCCUGCAUGGGCACCUCCCCCAUGCUCCGUCCCUG